AUGAGUUAUAUAUCUAUUACACCCUUAGAAGAACCUUUUGAAACACCAGUUCCUUUAUCGGAACCACUUUGUAAUGUUUGGCUUCUUGCUCGCACAACCUGGCUCAAAUUCUUCAAAGUGGCAGAAACAGCAAUAUCACUAAUGAGGCAUACUGCAGGUGGGACUGUUCAAAAAAGUUGUGAAUCAAACCAAACCAACGAACCGAUCUGA